AAGAAUAUCUUAUUAAAGAUAUUGAUAAGCAGAAGAUAAAAUAAUCAAAGGAUAAUCAAGAAUAUCUAUUUAAAGAUAUUUAACAACUAACAAGAUUUUCAAGUAAGUCUGUUUAUAUUAUAUUCUGUUUAUAUUUUGUUGGGCAUAUAUCUGUUGGAGGGCCACAAGCCAGGUACCUUCGAAUCAUCUUCCAAUCAUACUCCAUUCACAUUCUACUCACACCCCACUACUCUGAAAAUAUUCUACAGUGAUAACAAAAUCACUAAAUACUCAAUUAUGAACUGAGGUUCAUCAAACCGCUCCUAACUUGAGCGUCAGAGUACAGGUACCUCCCCCCUCCAUCAAAAAGAACAUCGAGCGGCCAAAGAGAAGCGAGCGGUCCAGACGGAAGGAAAGCAGGCUAUCCAAAUAAUCCAGGCAUCGGAAAGCGGUAAAGUCACGUCAGAAAAGGUUAGUGUCUCGGUCCCCAAAAAAUCUACCGAAACAUUUUGGCGCCCACCGUGGGGCCGAGAUUUGAAGAAUCCCAAUGGUGACCACGAGGACCAUGGACAACCCUAGCCAGAUGGAGAUGAUCCGGGAGUUACAAGCACAGUUGGAAGAACAGGCCCGUACCAUACAUCAGCAACAAGAGCUUCAGCAAGCCCAGGCUAAACGAAUGGAGGAACAAGCCCAGAUUAUAGACAACAGCAAGAGACGUAGUAGAAGCAAAACGAAGAAAUUGCCCGACUAAAGGCACAACGUGCAACUCCUGAAAUGUUUGAGACUCAAGGAAGCCAGAAUAACGGACACGGCGUACAUACACCUCCGAGAACCGAUCAGUCACCCAAGUUAUUACCAUUCACAGAAGCAGUUAUGCAAGCCCCGAUGCCCGAUCGGCCUCCACCACCGAUAGAAAGGUUUGACGGCAAUUCAGACCCAGAAUAUCACCUGAUAAAUUUCAUCGACUCCAUGGCCUUCUAUUCCAAAAGCGACCCGGUCAAGUGCAGGGCCUUCUCUCUAUCCUUGAAGGGAGAAGCGCUAGAGUGGUACUACACCCUCCCCCCUAAUACAGUGAACAGCUUCCGCACCGCCAUGACUCUAUUUAAAAAACAAUAUGCCUCCAAUCGGAAACAAGAAAUAACACCAGCGGACUUGGUAAAUACUAAACAGGAGAAAGGAGAAACUUUGAAGGCCUUUAUGAAAAGGUAUACUGAAACCGCACGACAGGUAAAAGAGGUCAAUCACUAUUUUAUUAUUAACAAUUUGUCUUCAUGUCUGAGACCAGGAUACUUUGCCGAAAAGUUGUAUGCGCGACCACCAAAAACUAUGGAAGAACUCCAAGAAAGAGUGGCUGAAUUCAUCCGCAUGGAAGAAAUGCGAAUCUCACAAAGAAAGCGGCAACAAGAAGCUGAUGUGGGAGGAGGUAGAAAGGACGGCAAACGACUGUUCGGUAAUAGUGAUAAAAGUGGGGAGCUUCCCCGGACAUUUAAAUUUAACCAUUUUACAGCCCUCAAUGCACCUAGGGAAAAAGUUCUCAAAGAAGCCCUAAACGCUGAACUUCUCACAUUCUGAAGGAAAACAUCUCCGAAAAACGUAGACGAAAGGAAGAGCUGCUACUUCCAUCAGAACCAUGAACAUACUACAAAAGAAUGCGUGACAUUGAAGAAUGAAAUAUAAAGUCUCAUCCAAGCAGGGCAUCUACGAAAGUAUAUAAAAGAAGAAAGAAAAAGCCUCCCCAGGGAGGGAUAUUUGCAAAGAAGUCCCGAACGAGCAUACCGGAAGGACAAACGAAGGCGGAGCUAUAGUCGUAGUCCCAGUCGCCAUCGUGAACAAUCGGUUCGAGGAGUUAUCAACUGAGGAGAGACAUGAUAAAUUUUAUGUUUAAAUUUUAUUUUCGUUGAUUUAGACUUUUAUUGUUUUCUUGUGCUUUCGUUAUGAAAUAAAUAAAGCAAUUCAUGCUCGCUCAUUAGCGGUAAAAAGUCAACCAGGAGGUUCUUAGGGAACUCUUAUGAAAAAGACCGAGAGGUAAAUCCCUCUCAGCCGAAGAGGUAAAUCCCUCUCGUUCAAAGAAAAAAACCGAGAGGUAAAUCCUUCUCGCCAACUAGUAAGUUGAAAGUAAAGACCGAGCGGUAAAUCCCUCUCGGCCGAGAGGUAAAUCCCUCCCGUUGAAGAAAAAACCGCGAGGUAAAUCCCUCUCGUUAACUAGAAAGUUGAAAACAAAGACCGAGCGGUAAAUCCCUCUCGGCCGAGAGGUAAAUCCCUCUUGUUGAAGAAAAAACCGAGAGGUAAAUCCCUCUCGUCAACUAGAAAGUUGAAAACAAAGACCGAGCGGUAAAUCCCUCUCGCCCGAGAGGUAAAUCCCUCUCGUUGAUGAAUAAGACCGAGAGGUAAAUCCCUCUCGAUUCAUGUUAAAGGCCGAAGAGGUAAAUCUCUCUCGGUUCAUGUUGAAGGCUGAGAGGUAAAUCCCUCUCGGUUCAUGUUGAAGGCCGAAGAAGUAAGUCCCUCUCGGAAGUACGUGCAAAGCAAGCUCCUUAAUACAACGAGAAAAGUCUCCCUCAAACUCAUAAGUCCUAUAGUUAAUCAUGGCUAAAGCCGAACGAUUAACUCGGACUUGGGGGGCAUAAUGUACAGUAUGAUAUCAGGGUCGAGCGGUUACGAUAUAUUUUAUUAAAAAUAUAAAAUAGUCAAGAAUAUCUUAUUAAAGAUAUUGAUAAGCAAAAAAUAAAAUAAUCAAAGGAUAAUCAAGAAUAUCUAUUUAAAGAUAUUUAGCAACUAACAAGAUUUUCAAGUAAGUAUGUUUAUAUUAUAUUCUGUUUAUAUUUUGUUGGGCAUAUAUCAGUUGGAGGCCAACAGGCCAGGUACCUUCGAAUCAUCUUCCAAUCAUACUUCAUUCAUAUUCUACUCACACUCCACUACUCUGAAAAUAUUCUACAAUGAUAACAAAAUCACUAAAUACUCAAUUAUGAACUGAGGUUCAUCAAACCGCUCCUAACUUGAGCGUCGGAGUACCUUUUGCAGGUACCUCCCCCCUCCAUCAAAAAGAACAUCGAGCGGCCAAAGAGAAGCGAGCGGUCCAGACUGAAGGAAAGCAGACUAUCCAGAUAAUCCAAGCAUCGGAAAGCGGUAAAGCCACGUCAGAAAAGGUUAGUGUCUCGGUCCAAAAAAUCUACCGAAACACAUAAGAUAGACAUUCUUAAAAUAAAAAAAUUUGAUUUAUUUUCCUGCAAUUAGAAUCUAACAUUAAAUCUUUCGGAGAGAAUAAACACAUUUGAUAAAAAUAAUAUAACAUAUGUGAUACGUAUAUAAAU
rnacentral:lncRNA from 1 species